UACAGGGGGUGCAAACGUUGCUCGGAAUUAUUGGGCGUAAAGAGCGUGUAGGCGGCCAGGUAGGUCUGCUGUGAAAACUCGAGGCUCAACCUCGAGACGUCGGCGGAAACCAUCUGGCUAGAGUCCGGAAGAGGGGAGUGGAAUUCCUGGUGUGAGCGGUGAAAUGCGCAGAUAUCAGGAAGAACACCCGUGGCGAAGGCGGCUCUCUGGGACGGUACUGACGCUGAGACGCGAAAGCGUGGGGAGCGAACAGG
rnacentral:rRNA from 1 species